AGAGUUUGAUCCUGGCUCAGGAUGAACGCUGGCGGCGUGCCUAACACAUGCAAGUCGAGCGAGAAGUAAAGAAAUGAAGCUUCGGUAGAUUUUCAUUAUGGAAAGCGGCGGACGGGUGAGUAACGCGUAGGCAACCUGCCCUGUACAGGGGGAUAGCCACCCGAAAAGGUGAUUAAUACCCCAUGAUGCAAGAGAUACACAUGUAUCACUUGUCAAAGAUUUAUCGGUAUGGGAUGGGCCUGCGUCUGAUUAGCUAGUUGGUAGGGUAACGGCUUACCAAGGCAACGAUCAGUAGCCGACCUGAGAGGGUGAUCGGCCACAUUGGAACUGAGACACGGUCCAAACUCCUACGGGAGGCAGCAGUGGGGAAUAUUGCACAAUGGGGGAAACCCUGAUGCAGCGACGCCGCGUGAGUGAAGAAGUAUUUCGGUAUGUAAAGCUCUAUCAGCAGGGAAGAAAAUGACGGUACCUGACUAAGAAGCCCCGGCUAACUACGUGCCAGCAGCCGCGGUAAUACGUAGGGGGCAAGCGUUAUCCGGAUUCAUUGGGCGUAAAGCGCUCGUAGGCGGUCUGUUAGGUCGGGAGUUAAAUCCGGAGGCUCAACCUCCGCCCGCUCCCGAUACCGGCAGACUUGAGUUUGGUAGGGGAAGGUGGAAUUCCUAGUGUAGCGGUGGAAUGCGCAGAUAUUAGGAAGAACACCAGUGGCGAAGGCGGCCUUCUGGGCCAUAACUGACGCUGAGGAGCGAAAGCUAGGGGAGCAAACAGGAUUAGAUACCCUGGUAGUCCUAGCU
rnacentral:rRNA from 1 species